rnacentral:rRNA from 1 species
UAAUUGAAGAGUUUGAUCAUGGCUCAGAUUGAACGCUGGCGGCAGGCCUAACACAUGCAAGUCGAACGGUAACAGGGAGCAGCUUGCUGCUCUGCUGACGAGUGGCGGACGGGUGAGUAAUGUCUGGGAAACUGCCUGAUGGAGGGGGAUAACUACUGGAAACGGUAGCUAAUACCGCAUAACGUCUACGGACCAAAGUGGGGGACCUUCGGGCCUCAUGCCAUCAGAUGUGCCCAGAUGGGAUUAGCUAGUAGGUGGGGUAACGGCUCACCUAGGCGACGAUCCCUAGCUGGUCUGAGAGGAUGACCAGCCACACUGGAACUGAGA